AUAUAUGACCAGUUCACAGCUUACACCAGAGUCAGUAGUGAAAAGCUGCUACCUUUUCCUCUAAGAUCAAGAACAAGACAAAGAUUCCACUCUCACCAGUCUU